rnacentral:rRNA from 1 species
CCUACGGGAGGCAGCAGUAGGGAAUUUUCGUCAAUGGGCGCAAGCCUGAACGAGCGAUGCCGCGUGCGUGAAGAAGGCCUUCGGGUCGUAAAGCUCUGUUUCGGGGGAAAAAAGGCAGCAUCAGGAAAUGCGUGCUGACUGCUGGUGCCCCGCCAGAAAGUCACGGCUAACUACGUGCCAGCAGCCGCGGUAAUACGGCGGUGGCGAGCGUUAGCCGGAAUGGUUGGGCGUAAAGGGUGCGAAGGCGGUCCUGCAAGUCUGGAGUGAAAAGGAUGCGCUAAACUCAUGAAUGGCUUUGGAAACUGGAGAACUGGAGAGCAGGAGAGGGAGGUGGAAGUCAAUGUGUAGCGGUAAAAUGCGUAGAUAUCACGCAGAACACCGAUUGCGAAGGCAGCAGACCGGUGCACAACUGACGCUCAGGCACGAAAGCGUGGGUAUCGAACAGGAUUAGAUACCCGUGUAGUC